rnacentral:lncRNA from 1 species
AUGAGGCUGAGCAGCGAGGAGGCUGCGGAGAGCAAAUGGCCGAUGGGCAGCCCUGGUGUGGAGCUGGUGGGUGUGCCCCCCAGCGUGUCCCCAAAGCUGAAGGCAAAGGAGUCAGGAGCACAGUCACCAGGGAAGGCAAGGGCCACCAAGCUGGACAGGCAGGUGGCAGGCAAAGGGGCGUGUGACACUGUGCCAGUGGUGGUCACUGCACCGGACACCACGCCAGUGGUUGUCACCCCAUCGGUUGUUGUCACUACACCAGAUGUCACACCAGUGGUUGUCACCACACCAGUGGUUGUCACUGGGCUGGGAGAGCUGUGCCAGGAGGGGAAGGCUCUCGGUCCCCUGAGUGUGGCUGCUGCUGCUGGGGGCUGUGGGGAGUUCACAGCCAGCCCCCCCCGAGAGAUGGGCUCCCCAACAUUCACAGUUGGGGGCCCUCCUGGGGCAGACAGCCUGGAUGUGACGUGGCCUGAGAUGUACGACUAUUUGUUCUGCGAGUCCCAGGGGGAAGAAGAAGCAGCAGAGAACGCGGUGGAGGGCGAGAAAACACCCUUGGAGAGGGAAAUAUCCUUGCCUGAACUGUAUGAGUAUUUUUUCAAUGAACCUGAAGGAAGUAGGAAAAAAGCCAAGCGUAAAGAGAGGAAGAGGAAGGAGUUUUUUGGCUUGCACCACACUGAGCUGCAAAAGGAGGAUCCCGAUGCAGCUACAGCCAAAGAGCCCCAGGUUGCCACAGUGCCUGAGCUGUAUGAACACUUCUUCCCCGACAGACCCCAGCACAGGAGGGGCUGGAGGGGAUUUCUCUUCUCCUCACCAGCCUCUGAGGUGAGGAAAGCCGUGGGGGCUCUGAUGUCCAUCCUGCAGAGGCCAAAGCCACACAGCAGAACCCAAGCGCCAGCCUCCCCAUCACUGGCACGGAGAGGGUCCCACCUUGCCCUCGUGCCACUGGGAGGGGGUCCUGAGUAUCCACCAGCUUUGGACAUGGCCCUUGCACUGAGAGGUAAAGCAGUGUGA